rnacentral:lncRNA from 1 species
AUAAGUUGGGGAAUUUUUCUGAAAGAGAUCAAAUCUAAACUGAAACGUAGAAUAUUUGGGAUGGAAAAGAAAAGGAAUAAAUCGAAGGAUGCCAAAGCGCCCAAAACCCCACAGCAUUGAAAUCAACCUGUACCGAACAUUUAAUGCUAAAAGAAACGCUGCAGAAAGUAAAGCAACAUGGGCUGUCCUAACAUUGUUAUUUUGAUUUUCUAGAAACUUGGAUGGACCAAUCACUUGUUUCCCAUAUUUCAUUCAUUGAUGACAAGAUUGGACGUCCUCUAAAGUUUGGGGGGCGGGGGGAAAGUUGAAGAUGCUGCUGAGCAAGGGCGUUACGGAAUUUUUUGAAGAGAACAUAUGCAAAUACUCUCUUACCUCAAUGGCUAAGUUUAUUUAUCACUUUAUAUUCGAAAUACGAUGUUAGAUUAGCCUAGAAUGAUAUAUUCUCCGUAGCAAUUACGCUGUAAAUGGGCUGACAUCGUCAUGCUUGAUUAUGGGCAUUAUCCAAGAGCUUUGGGCUUUUGGAUAGUCCAUUGUGGUCUUGG